ensembl:lncRNA
AUGGUAACCGUACAUGCUAUGGGGUUAGCCUUCAGUGUUACAUCAGCAGGUAUCGUGAACUGUUUCACUGCAUCAAUGCAUCAGAAAAAGGUGCGAGUGGAGGCGAAGAGACGCAAACUCACGUUCAGAAAUCAGAGGGACAAGUUCUGUGAUCACGGGAGUCACCGACGCUUUCAAUCUGUGCGUGAGACGUUCAAUAAGACAUCCAGAGAUCUCAACACGUUUGGCCACGUUGUGAAUGAAAGUAUCAGUGAGUGUCAGCGUCCGUCGGCCCGAUCUGAUGAGCCCCGUGGGCCACGUACUCGCACUCUCUCCCCGCCGCCGCCGCCGCCUCGUCCUCUCUUUGAGGAAAGAGGCCGACGUCUGGCGUCUCCUCGGCGGGGAAAAGCGCGUUCCCCCGUCGCUCCUUGUUCUCCGGUCGCUCCUUGUUCUCCGGGCUCCCCGGGGCCUCGUGGAGGUACUCCGCGCUCAGCAGGAGGGCCGACAGUUUGUCAACGGACAGCAGAGCGGUGUCUUCCUCUGAGCUGGGACGGACCACGAUGAGACUCUUCUCUCCGAGAACGCGGGUCACCUGGAAGGCCUCCAGGUCCAGGACACGUCUGUCCGCAGUCUUCUGAAGGGGGAACUGGACAGUUUAGAUGUUUGUCUGGUUAAAUCACCAAUAAAUGCACUAUUGUUGAGUAUUAUCCUCUUUACUUUCUGCGUAUUUGUGCUUUUAAAUGCUGCCGCAACAAACUAACUUCCCCGUGCAGAACUAAUAAAGUAACCAUCUAUAUUAGUGCCGGCAAAGAUUACAAUUCUGAAUCUGGAAUAAUCGCAGUGUUUUGCACAAAAGUAAAUAAUGAAUUCAACGUGUAUUUUAAAAGUACUGCUAUACGAACAAAAGUGGAACACUUUAAACACAUUAAGUGCUUCAGUAUUCCAUUCAGCAGCAUCUGGUAAAGGUCCCCACUCACCUGGUGGUUUGGGUCCAUCAGCCAGCGGCCGGUGUCACUGCCCCGAGGGCUGCAGAUGUGGGGGAAGAAGUACGACUUGUACCUGAGGAGGUGUUACAGAGGGAUAUUAAUUCAAAUCAAACACAGAAUGACUAGUUUUUGAUUCAACGCAGUCAUCA